CUUGGGCCACCCUGGUCAAAAAGUUCUGUACACGCCCCUGACCUGACAGAACUUAUGGACUGAACCCAGAACUGGCCUCGAGUAGUUUGAAAUGACCACGUCAACAACGUCACUUUGCCACAAUACGUGUUUGGUUUUUGAAAUGACAAGUCUGUAGCUUAUUAUUAUUUUUUUUUACUUAAACUGUGGUUGAGGUCACAGCAGGUCCCAAUUCAGUUCAGACCUGGGUCACCGCAGGGGUUAGCAUUAGCUUCAGCUAACAUCCAGAGCUCCCCUCUCUGCUAUUUUGUAGUAACAUCCACCCCGCUGCAGGACUUGCUGAAGUUACCACUCAGUCAGACUGAGUCCUGCAAACCAGAUUGCAGCACAGUAUCACAACUAGCAGCGUACCUGAGAGGGGACGUUCUUUGGCGGCUCAAUGCGAAUGGAUGGGUCCCACUCUCCCGGCGGAAGUACUGUCACCUGAUCCAGGAACUCAUCUAUCCCGGCCAGCAGGUAUGGGGACUUCUGUGAGUCCAGUGAGCAGCACAGCAGGUGAGAGGCGGACAAACGCCACAAUGGGUCUCUCAAGGAAGUCCAGUUCUCCCACCAGGACAUUGGAGGCCUCUGCACCCUCUGGAAUCUUCUUCAUAAAGUGCAUGUCCACCUGUAUAGACAAGGGGAGAACGGGGCUGGUUGUCACACUGGUUGGUUGGCACACUCGUUAUAUCUCGCCACCAGAGAGCAUUAUCUCUCAAAUGAUCUUUCCAGGAUUAGGAUCAGAGCUCACCUACAUUGUCUUCUCUUGAGUAAGACAGCUGAACUUGAGAUAACACCGGUUCUCACCUGCAAUCUCCUCGAUGCAGUCAGCGUGCAUGUCAAGCAACACACUGCCAUUGAUGAUACAGCUGCGGAGCUCGAACAGGCUGUGGAGGGAGAGAGUAGCGACGUACGGCUUGCUCCAUCUCUCCCCACCAUCCUCCACGUCCUCUUCAAACUUAAGCCACCUGUGAUGUAAAGACAGGUCAGAAAUACGCCUCUGAAUUUAUCAAAUUCUUCAGAGUUCACUAGAAUCUAUUUGAGAGUGAGUGAAGCAGAAAUACUUAACCCUAUCCCUAAACUUCAGAGAGCUCCUGAAGUUUCUGAAGUUGGUUUAAAGUAAAUCUAGAUGACUGCAGUAAGGACAUCUUUUGAGACAUAUCCAAGAAAUGUAAUUGUUAAUGAUGGAUUAUACUCUAAAUAAAGCAACAUAGUGUAUUCAACA